rnacentral:misc_RNA from 1 species
GUUUUGGCGUUUGAAAUUAAAAGUGUGCUGUCAACAAUAUCAACUAUACCAAGAUGAAUUUAUUCGAACAUGUAAAGCACCUUCAUGACUGUGAACUCUACAACGACUUGAAGCAUCUGGCUUCUAUAGCCAUGUCGCUCUGUGACAACAACCCUGACAGUGAGGUGAUGAACCUGUCACAGAAAUACCAGUGUACCGUGUUCUAUGGUAACGCGCUGUUUCAUCUACAGGAGUACCACAAGGCAGAGGAUAUUUACAAGAAAGCUCUACAUCUCAGAAAGGCAAUAAACAAAGAGAAAGUGAAAGACAAACCCUCAUCAAGCUUCGAACUUACUGACGAGGUGGAGGUGAAGUACAAGAUAUACGAGUGUCUGAUGGCGACCAAACAGUGUAGGGAGGCCAUGGUGAUGUUACAAGGAAUAAGUUCCAAACAGAGGACCCCCAAAAUCAACCUCGCCCUAGCCAAACUGUACAUCAGGGUGGGUAUGGACCGCUCGGCCAUCACCAGCUACAAAGAGGUUCUCAGGGAGUGUCCCCUGGCUUUGGAGGCAAUGACAGGCCUGAUGUCCCUGGGGGUGAAAGGACCUGACGUAGCAGCCCUGGUGAUGAAUGGAGCCCCCAACACCUCGGACUGGUUGUCGCUGUGGAUAAAAGGUCAAGCCCAGCUGUCACAGAGAGACUACAUGUCCUCCAUAGCGACGCUCUCCUCACUUGACAACCAGUCCUAUCUCCAUGACAACACCCAGCUCCUCAACAGUCUGGCGGAGGCCAAGUUCUGUGACGGCCAGUACACACAGGCCCUGGCCCUGUUCCAGCGGAUCCAUGCCCUUGACCCGAUGCAAAUGACUAACAUGGACUUGUAUUCCUACCUGCUGGCAAAAGACAGAAAGGUCAAGGAUCUCCUAAAACUCUCUCAGCAAUUACUGAAGAUCACAGAGCAGUCCGCAGAACCCUGGAUCUCCCUCGGAUACUACUGCCUAGCAACCAGAAAGGUCUCCAAGACCAUAUACUUCGCUCAGAAGGCAAACACACUUGACCCAUACAACAUCGAGGCCUUCCUAUUGAAGGGGACAGCACUCCUGGAGCUCAAGAAGGUUGACGAUGCCACCCCCCACAUGAAAGAGGCCCUUAGACUGGCCCCACACAGAUACGAGGCCUACACAGGUCUUAUCCAGUGUUAUAUGGCUCUAUACAGACACAGAGAAGCCCUGACUUGGGCCGGUAAAGCCAUCAAGACACUGGGCACCACAGCACGGACGCUUACAGUGAGUGGGGACAGGGAGGGUGGGAGGGUGAGAGGGAGGGGGGUAUCCUUAAUUAAAAGUUUAUUGGGAAAAUUGAACAUAGCCAGGUAAAGAGAAAGUUUGAAAUCUAAACCUCGAUGGCCAGAAUAGAUGUACAUAUGUAUGGAGUACAGGGGAUCUUAUAAAGUUAUCUUAUAAAAAUUGGAUGUUUUGAGUCCACUCCUGAUUCUCACAUGAUGUUUAAGAAGUGGACUCAGAACAUCUUAUGUAUGAGGUUGAUUAGAGAGGGGAUGAUGAUUAGAAUGUAGACUGUGAGGAAAUAAGGUAGAGUGGUCGCUCAAUAGGUGAGGACUGGAAAGGGGCAUUUGUUUAACCACCUCAUAAUAGUGAUCUAGUAGAACUUUAGAAUGUACAUUUAAUCUCUGAAUUGUGGAUAUUUCUCUUACUUUAAUGUUAAAAAUGUUAGAUUCAACAAAAUUAUGAUUUAAAUAUUAGAUUUAUCAAAACUAGAAAAUUUUGUUUUUAUGACUUUUUCAGCUGUAUGCCUCUGUGCUUGCCAAGACACCAACAGUGAUUGCGAAGGCUAAACCAUACUUGGAGAAAGCGAUGAAGUUGGACCCGUCUUUUUUGGAGGCGGUUUAUAUCAUGGUGGAGAUUCUGGGCCAGGAGCAGCAGUAUGAUAAAGGAAUUGAAAUAUUACGCAAACAGCUGGAAACUCACAGUACAUGUCGACUUCAUCAGAUGUUAGCAGAAUUUCUUACUCAGACCCAUGAACAUCAAGAAGCUCUGGACCAGUUUAGUAUAGCUUUGAGUUUGGACCCGUCCAAUGUGAGAGUUAGAGAGGGCAUGGAGAGGGUAGAGAAACAGAACGACAUGGGGCUGGAGAGUGCCUAUGACGUGGGGGUGGAGGACAUGGAAAACAGUGAGGAGGAGGAGGAAUUUGAGGGCAGUGAUGUGGAGAGUGCCUGGUCUGACACAGAGUUCAGCUGAUCCAACAGACACUCACAGAACUCAGCGCAUCCACCGACCAUCCACAGACGUCAUCAGAACUCAGCUGAUUGGCUGGUUGGUACUGGCGAGAUCUCAGGGGCGUGAACUGACAGUGUGUGUUCCUAGAGUUGGGCUGAGUUUUAUUCAGUCCUCCAUCAGCAGUCACUGACAGUACCCAGUACUGUAUCUGCACUAUUCAAUAGAAUAAAUCUUAGCACUGCUCAGUGUGGAUCACGUGAUGAUCAAAGACUGCGUGCUGUGUAUGAUUUGUAAAUAUGUAUAUUCUGACUGGUAAUUGUUAACUGGAUCAUUCCGUGAGACCAGUUUUGUGUUAGACUUGUACAUGUGCUUUGUGAUGUGAUAUGUUUCAGGUAAACUCAUUUUUUUAGCAUUUUGUUCAAAUUUCAGAGAACUUCAAAAGGAAUUCAGGCUACAGAGAAAUUUGAUCAUUCAGAAUAUUAAUUCUUCUGCAUUUUUUGGGUGAUCUAUUUCCAUUGGUCUUCACCAGUCGUCGUUCGUUAACAAUUUUACAUUUUUAACUUCUUUUUGUAAACUACAACGCCAAUUGUUAACAUUUUUGGUUUGAAGCAUCUCUUGGAUAAGAGGAAUCUAGAUUACGUUUAUAAACUUACCAUCCCCGAUCCCUCAUUGGCAGAGACAAAUAUGCUUUUCAAAAAAAGACCAAAUUUCUUUACUCCGACACAUGUGGAGGUUAACACUUAGGGUUAUGCUACUCAGGCUUCUUGUUUUCUGAUAAUACUUGUAUUUCAUGUGUUUAUAAAUAUCAAAUAUGGGCCCUUGUUUAAUGCAAUCAAUAUAUUAAAUGAUUACAUUUAUGAAAGUUUGAACACUUUUUGGGUGACGUUUUAUUAUUGACUGUUCUUUUACUAACUAUAUAUUAAAUGUAAUUAAGUCAGCAAGUCUUUUAAGGAACCUUUUAAGGCUCCAACACUCAAGGAAUAACUUGGUACUUUGUGCAGAGUUAUCUACCAUAGAUAACUGAAACUUACAUACUGCUGAAUGCAUUGUUAGCCAUUUUAAUAAAAUAUUGAUAUAUUUAAUAUCU